UACGUAGGGUGCGAGCGUUGUCCGGAAUUAUUGGGCGUAAAGGGCUCGUAGGCGGUCUGUCGCGUCGGGAGUGAAAACUCAGGGCUUAACCCUGAGCCUGCUUCCGAUACGGGCAGACUAGAGGUAUGCAGGGGAGAACGGAAUUCCUGGUGUAGCGGUGGAAUGCGCAGAUAUCAGGAGGAACACCGGUGGCGAAGGCGGUUCUCUGGGCAUUACCUGACGCUGAGGAGCGACAGCGUGGGGAGCAAACAGG
rnacentral:rRNA from 1 species